UUACUAAUGAAGAGUCCCAAACUAGGACGAAAUAGCUGUCCAGUAC
rnacentral:hammerhead_ribozyme from 1 species